UACGUAGGGUGCGAGCGUUAAUCGGAAUUACUGGGCGUAAAGCGUGCGUAGGCGGUUCGUUAAGUCAGCUGUGAAAGCCCCGGGCUCAACCCGGGAACUGCGGUUGAAACUGGCGAACUAGAAUCUGGCAGAGGGGGGUGGAAUUCCACGUGUAGCAGUGAAAUGCGUAGAGAUGUGGAGGAACACCGAUGGCGAAGGCAGCCCCCUGGGCUGAGAUUGACGCUCAGGCACGAAAGCGUGGGGAGCAAACAGG
rnacentral:rRNA from 1 species